rnacentral:rRNA from 1 species
UCAGCUGGCCCCGGUGAAUACGUUCCCGGGCCUUGUACACACCGCCCGUCACACCACGAAAGUUGGCUGCAACCGAAGUCGGUGAUUCAACCCGCAAGGGGGAUAGCCUACCGAAAGGUGGGGUAAUACCGCGUAGAUUAAUGAUCGGCAUCGAUUAUUAAUGAAAUGCCCGCAAGGGUAGCUGGAAGACGGGUCUGCGGCCUAUCAGCUAGUUGGUGAGGUAACAGCUCACCAAGGCAACGACGGGUAACCGGCCUGAAAGGGCGACCGGUCACACUGACACUGAGACACGGGUCAGACUCCUACGGGAGGCAGCAGUGAGGAAUUUUGGACAAUGGGGGCAACCCUGAUCCAGCGACGCCGCGUGAAGGACGAAGGUCUUCGGAUUGUAAACUUCUUUUCUCCGAGAAUAAGAAACCUGUAGAAAUAUAGGGAGUGAAUGUACCGGAGGAAUAAGCCACGGCUAACUUCGUGCCAGCAGCCGCGGUAAUACGAAGGUGGCAAGCGUUACUCGGAAUUACUAGGCGUAAAGGGCAGGUAGGUGGUUUGGUAAGUCUGCUGUGUAAGCUCCCGGCUUAACUGGGAGAGGUCAACAGAUACUGUCAAACUCGAGUGUGGGAGAGGAUACUGGAAUUCCCGGUGUAGCGGUGAAAUGCGCUGAGAUCGGGAGGAACACCAAUGGCGAAAGCAGGUAUCUGGACCAUUACUGACACUCAGCUGCGAAAGCUAGGGGAGCAAACAGGAUUAGAUACCCUGGUAGUCCUAGCUGUAAACGAUGCACAUUAGACGUGGGGGGUAUCGACCCCCUCCGUGUCGACGCAAACGCAUUAAAUGUGCCGCCUGGGGAGUACGGCCGCAAGGUUGAAACUCAAAGGAAUUGACGGGGGCCCGCACAAGCGGUGGAGCAUGUGGUUUAAUUCGACACAACGCGAAGAACCUUACCUGGGCUUGAACUACUGGCAGUAGUCCUGAUGAAAGUCGGGGCGGACCGUAAAGUCGGUUACCAGCAGAGGUGCUGCAUGGCUGUCGUCAGCUCGUGUCGUGAGAUGUUGGGUUAAGUCCCGCAACGAGCGCAACCCUUAUCCUAUUUUGCCAUGUCUGUAAUGGACGGAACUAUUAGGAAACUGCCUCGGAUAACGGGGAGGAAGGUGGGGAUGACGUCAAGUC